GAGUUUGAUCAUGGCUCAGAUUGAACGCUGGCGGCAGGCCUAACACAUGCAAGUCGAACGGUAACAGGAAACAGCUUGCUGUUUCGCUGACGAGUGGCGGACGGGUGAGUAAUGUCUGGGAAACUGCCUGAUGGAGGGGGAUAACUACUGGAAACGGUAGCUAAUACCGCAUAACGUCGCAAGACCAAAGAGGGGGACCUUCGGGCCUCUUGCCAUCGGAUGUGCCCAGAUGGGAUUAGCUUGUUGGUGGGGUAACGGCUCACCAAGGCGACGAUCCCUAGCUGGUCUGAGAGGAUGACCAGCCACACUGGAACUGAGACACGGUCCAGACUCCUACGGGAGGCAGCAGUGGGGAAUAUUGCACAAUGGGCGCAAGCCUGAUGCAGCCAUGCCGCGUGUAUGAAGAAGGCCUUCGGGUUGUAAAGUACUUUCAGCGGGGAGGAAGGGAGUAAAGUUAAUACCUUUACUCAUUGACGUUACCCGCAGAAGAAGCACCGGCUAACUCCGUGCCAGCAGCCGCGGUAAUACGGAGGGUGCAAGCGUUAAUCGGAAUUACUGGGCGUAAAGCGCACGCAGGCGGUUUGUUAAGUCAGAUGUGAAAUCCCCGGGCUCAACCUGGGAACUGCAUCUGAUACUGGCAAGCUUGAGUCUCGUAGAGGGGGGUAGAAUUCCAGGUGUAGCGGUGAAAUGCGUAGAGAUCUGGAGGAAUACCGGUGGCGAAGGCGGCCCCCUGGACGAAGACUGACGCUCAGGUGCGAAAGCGUGGGGAGCAAACAGGAUUAGAUACCCUGGUAGUCCACGCCGUAAACGAUGUCGACUUGGAGGUUGUGCCCUUGAGGCGUGGCUUCCGGAGCUAACGCGUUAAGUCGACCGCCUGGGGAGUACGGCCGCAAGGUUAAAACUCAAAUGAAUUGACGGGGGCCCGCACAAGCGGUGGAGCAUGUGGUUUAAUUCGAUGCAACGCGAAGAACCUUACCUGGUCUUGACAUCCACGGAAGUUUUCAGAGAUGAGAAUGUGCCUUCGGGAACCGUGAGACAGGUGCUGCAUGGCUGUCGUCAGCUCGUGUUGUGAAAUGUUGGGUUAAGUCCCGCAACGAGCGCAACCCUUAUCCUUUGUUGCCAGCGGUCCGGCCGGGAACUCAAAGGAGACUGCCAGUGAUAAACUGGAGGAAGGUGGGGAUGACGUCAAGUCAUCAUGGCCCUUACGACCAGGGCUACACACGUGCUACAAUGGCGCAUACAAAGAGAAGCGACCUCGCGAGAGCAAGCGGACCUCAUAAAGUGCGUCGUAGUCCGGAUUGGAGUCUGCAACUCGACUCCAUGAAGUCGGAAUCGCUAGUAAUCGUGGAUCAGAAUGCCACGGUGAAUACGUUCCCGGGCCUUGUACACACCGCCCGUCACACCAUGGGAGUGGGUUGCAAAAGAAGUAGGUAGCUUAACCUUCGGGAGGGCGCUUACCACUUUGUGAUUCAUGACUGGGGUGAAGUCGUAACAAGGUAACCGUAGGGGAACCUGCGGUUGGAUCACC
rnacentral:rRNA from 1 species